rnacentral:rRNA from 1 species
UCCUACGGGAGGCAGCAGUGGGGAAUUUUCCGCAAUGGGCGAAAGCCUGACGGAGCAAUACAGCGUGAGGGAAGACUGCCUAUGGGUUGUAAACCUCUUUUUUCAGGGAGGAAUAAAUGACGUGUACCUGAAGAAUAAGCAUCGGCUAACUCCGUGCCAGCAGCCGCGGUAAUACGGAGGGGGUUAGCGUUGUUCGGAAUUACUGGGCGUAAAGCGCGCGUAGGCGGAUUAGAAAGUUGGGGGUGAAAUCCCGGGGCUCAACCCCGGAACUGCCUCCAAAACUGCUAGUCUAGAGUUCGAGAGAGGUGAGUGGAAUUCCGAGUGUAGAGGUGAAAUGCGUAGAGAUAUGGAGGAACACCAGUGGCGAAGGCGACUUUCUGGUCUGUAACUGACACUGAGGCGCGAAAGCGUGGGGAGCAAACAGGAUUAGAUACCCUGGUAGUCCACGCCGUAAACGAUGAGUGCUAAGUGUUAGAGGGUUUCCGCCCUUUAGUGCUGAAGUUAACGCAUUAAGCACUCCGCCUGGGGAGUACGGCCGCAAGGCUGAAACUCAAAGGAAUUGACGGA